UACGGCCACAUAGUGCUGAAACACUGGUUCUCAUAUGAUCACCAAAGUUAAGCAACAUCAAGCCUGGUCAGUACCUAGAUGGGUGACUGUUUGAGAAUACCAAGUGCU